CCUACGGGUGGCAGCAGUGGGGGAUAGUGGACAAUGGGGGGAACCCUGAUCCAGCGACGCCGCGUGAGUGAAGAAGGAUCUCGGUAUGUAAAGCUCUAUCAGCAGGGAAGAAGAAAUGACGGUACGUGAGUAAGAAGCCCAGGCUAACGACGAGCCAGCAGCCGCGGUAAUACGUCGGGGGCAAGCGUUAUCCGGAAUUACUGGGUGUACAGGGAGCGUAGACGGUGCUGUAAGUCUGGAGGGAAAGGCGGGGGCCCACCCCCCGGACGGCGCUGGCAACUCUGUGCCUGGCGGGCAGGAGAGGUGAGCGGACUUCCUUCUGUCGCGGUGCACUGCGUAGAUAUUAGGCGGCACCCCAGUGGCGCAGUCGUCUCACUGGCCUGUACCUGACGUUGAGGCUC
rnacentral:rRNA from 1 species